GCCAAAUACACCUUGCACUUUCCCCCUGCUAAUAUUAUUACCUGUAGUUUCACCUUCCCAGAAAGCCUUCUUAUCUCCUUAUUGAAAUCCUCCAAGAAGGAGUUCCACCCCUACCUGUAAGAUGUGUUCUCAGGAGGUGAAUUGGCUUGGUCAGAGAACUCUCAGACUGCACAGUUGCUCUGAGCUCUACUGGGUGAGCUGUAGAGCCAUCAUGGUCCUGCCCAUGGUUGCUGCCUUGUUCAGAGUAAAUGCUUCACAAAUACUAACUGAAUGAAUCUACGAGAGGAGGAACAACAGAGAUGAACGACAAAGGUAAUGCAUAACUAACGUUUACUUAUUCUGCAAAGAUUUACUGAAGUUCCUACUCUCUCAGCAUUAGGGGAAUAGUAAAUGAGACAGAGAAGAUUCCUGCCGUCAAAUGGCACUACACUCUAUGUAGUCAAGGGAGGUCUGUUUGUAUUUUUUUAUUUUCAGCUAACAUUUAUUUUGUUUUAAAUUUUUCCCCCAGCUUUCUAGAGGUAUAAUUGACAAAUAAAAAUUGAAUAUAUUUCAGAUAUACAAUGUGAUGAUUUCAUAUACGUAUACAUUGUGAAAUGAUGACCACAAUCAAGCUAAUUAAAACAUCCAUCACCUCACAUAGUUAGUUACAUUUUUUGUGUGUGUGGUGAGAACACUUAAGAUGCACUCUCUUAGCAAAUUUCAAUACACAGUACGGUACUAUUAACUGUAGUCACCAUGCUGUACAUUAGGUCCCCAGAACGUACUCAUCUUAUAACUAAAAGUUUAUAUCCUGUGACCAACACCUCCCCAUUUCCCCCACCACCCAGCCCCUGACAACCACUGUUCAGCUCUCUGUUCCUGUGGGUUUGAAUUUUUUAGAUUCCACAUAAAAGUGAGAUCAUACAGUAUUUGUUUUUCUGUGUCUGGCUUAUUUUACACGGCAUAAUGUCCUCCAGGUUCAUCCAUGUUGUUGCAAGUGGCAGGAUUUCCUUCUUUUUUAUGGCUGAAUAACAUUCUUUUUUUUUUUUUUUUUGAGGAAGAUUAGCCCUGAGCUAACAUCUACUGCCAAUCCUCCUCUUUUUGCUGAGGAAGACUGGCCCUGAGCUAACAUCCGUGCCCAUCCUCCUCCACUUUAUAUGUGGGACGCCUACCACAGCAUGGCUUGCUGAGCAGUGCCAUGUCUGCACCUGGGAUCUGAACCAGGGAACCCUGGGCUGCCAAAGCGGAAUGUGCACGCUUACCCACUGUCCCACCGGGCCGGCCCCAUAUGACUGAGCAACAUUCUCUUUAUCCAGUCAUCCAUCAGUGGACACUUAGGUUAUUUCCAUAUCUUUGCUAUUGUGAAUAAUUCUGCUAACAUUUAUUAAGUACCUACUAUGUGUCAGCUACUAUUCCAUGCUUUUCACAAGUAUAUGUUUCAUUUAACUUUCACAAUAGUCCCACAAGGAAGGUGUUAUUGCGCUCAUUUCUAAACAAAGAAACUGAAGUUUUGAGUUGUUUUGUAACCCGCCCAAGGUCACCCAGAAGCAAGAGGUGAAAUUGGCCUUAAACCCAGAUCGGCGUGAUAGCAAAGCCUGGAUUCUUAACCACUAUGGGCCAAAGUUGGGUAGGAAGGCUUUUAUAUGCUUGUUUUAUUCUAUCUCACUUAUUUUUAUUUUAUUAUGACAAUUUUCAAACAUAGGAAAAAUUGAAAAAAUUAUACAGUGAAUCUAUAUACUGCUUCCUAGGUCCUAGAUUAACAUUUUACUACACUGGUCACCUAACUCUCCAUCUCUCCGUCUCACCAUUAACCCAGCUUACAUUUGUGAUGCCUUUCAAAGGAAGUUAUAAACAUUAGUAGAAGGUGGGAUUUGAGUUGGGCCUUGAAGGAUGUUAUCAAGUCUACAAAGGCAGAAGAGAGAGAGGAGAGGAGUCUAAGUAUGGGAAAGAGUGUGCGUGAAAGAACUGUGGCAGGAAUGUGGAUGAUGACCUCAUAGAACAAUGAGAAGGAGGCUAUGACGGGGAUGACAGUUAGCGUUAGGGAACAUGAUCAGGAAGGGCGGAUAGGAAGCCUGGAUGGAAGAAAACUUCAGCCAACCAGCAGAGGAGUCCCCUUUCCAUGAAAGUAAACGGGAAACAGGAACUACUAGAGCUUCCGGUAGAAAGAAUGUAAGGCAUACAUAGCAUGCAGGGCUAGUGGGAUAGAUUGGCAGGACUAAGGGAGUACUCAAGCAAUGGAAGUUCUAGUGAUCCAUGCAGGAGAAGAUAUGAG
ensembl:lncRNA